ACACACAAGGUCUUCAGAUGAUAGGAACAGCUCAUGCUGAAUUUCAUGAACUGAUUAAUUACAACCGCAUCAUACGCCAUAUGUAUUCAAAAAUACGAUUUUUUUUAACAGAUUGGAUUCUAAUUGUUUUACCCUGGAAUUUACCACCACCCAGUUAUAGAAUUCAGAUUACCAUACCAGACACAUCAUCCCAGGGAAUCUAAAGUGUCAUUUCCUCUCUGGAAGAAAGGAAGCACAAAACAUGCUAGGACAAAAUUGGAGAAACUGAUUAUUUUACCCAGGCUUUGACUGGAAUGGCAUGAUUCCUUUAAAAAAUUCAAGCUUGACUUAUACAGCCAAUUAAGCCCUGUUGGGGAAUCUGGUCUCAUACCUUGUCCACACAGAGUCCUUGUACAAGUUUCCCGACCUGUGAAAGAAGAAAGAGCUUUAACAGACAUUUGAUAAUGAAUUGUUACUUCUUACUCAUGUUUAUAUAUAAACUCUUGACUGUCAAUGCUAUAAAAGACAAUUCAAAAGGAAGAAAUGCAGUUAUAUUGAAACACCAUUCAAAACAUCACAACAAGAAAUGCAGUCUACUAUAAACUGAGUAAAUAGAAAGAUAUACAGUAGUACUGAGGCUACUACCAGGAGAAGGCAAUAUUGGUACUGAACAAAAAAGAGUUUCUUCACACUGAAGUACAGCACAGUUGAGAAGCAUGAAAUAAAGACGUUUUCUAGACUCCAAUUCUAUCAUUUCCAUGAGAAGUCCUGGAAGCCGUCUCCCACAGAUACCAAGAGACCACUGUAUAUCCAGAAGUGUGACUACUGUGUAAUAUGAAGUUAUAACUUUAAUUUCUUCAGGAACCACCAUACUGCUUUCCACAGCAGGUGCUCUAUUUUAAAAUCUCACCAACAGUGCAUAAGGUUUCUAAUUUCUCCACAUCCUCACCAACACUUAUUUUCUGUCCUUUUGAUAUUAACCAACCUGAUGGAUAUACAGUAGUAUUUCAUUGUGGUUUUGAUCUGCAUUUCUCUAAUGGUUACUGCUAUUGAGCAUAUUUUCAUAUGCUUGCUGACCAUUUGUAUAUGAUCCUUAGAGAAGCAUCUUUUCAAGUUCUUUGCCUAAUUUUUAAUUGGAUGGUUUUUUGUUGUUGAGUUAUAGGAGUUCUUUAAAUAUUCUGGACACUAACUUCUCAGAUUAAUGAUUUCCAACAUUUUCUUGCAUUUCAUAUGUUGCCUUUUCAGUCUAUUGAUUGUUUUCUUUGUUGUACAGAAGUUUUUUAGUUUGAUAUAGUCCCAUUUAUCUAUAUUUGCAUUUGCCGCCUAUGCUUUGGGUACAUUUCCAAGAAACGAUUGCCAAAUCUAAUGUCAUGAAGAUUUUCAUUUGUGUUUCCUUCUAGGAGUUUUUUGGCUUGGAGUGUUACAUUUAGGUUAUCAAUGCAUUUUGAGUUAACUUUUGUAUAUUGUGUAGAAUAAGGACUCAACUUCAUUCUUUUGCAUAUGCAUAUUGUAAUAUUCUUUUAUUCUUUUCUCUCUUUCACUGUCUCUCUUGCC
rnacentral:lncRNA from 10 species